CUCGCUACCCUCCUGCGAAAAAAACGGUGCCAAAAAACCCUACGAUCGAUCUCUCGUGCCCACAGCAGAUAGUUCUCCACCGCCAACCAGCCCUAUGCACUCGCGAUCCACCCCUUCGCCCCCGCCGCGACCGAUCCAUCCCUGUGACGCGGCAGAUCCUAACCCCGGGGCUUCCUCCUCCGCCACCAUCCUGUUCCCUCCGCUCCCAUCUGCCGCCUCUGUCGAGAUCAGAGACCUCCGACUUCUGGGCCGCUGCCGCCGUUGCCGCGGAACCCCGGGACAAGGCAGGGUGUGGUCGCGUUGCGGGCAGCGAGAAGCGGCGCACGGCCGUGCCCUGCAUCUGGUUCCUCUCCGCUCCCCUCAAUCCCCUUCAUCGCCUCCAACAUACAAUCUCGCCGCCGUGGGAUCGCCGCCGAGCCAAGCAUCACCAUGAUGGCGGAAGGAAGAGCAAGAGGGGGUCGUCGAGGCUGGGUGCCGCCGUGAGGAUGCUGGAGCCCAUGCACGGUGAUGGUAUUGUGGCGGAAGAAGGUCAUCUUCCUGGGGAGCCACGCGAUGGCCGCCGUCUCCACCCACGGCCGUGCCAACAAGACAGAUCUCGCUGAGAUGGACUCCGCUAGAAAUUCCUCUAUGAAUUUGGAACAUAUAAAGGGGAUUUAACUUUUAAGAAGCAUAGAACGUUGUGCUAUUAUGCAUUGCCAUGAUUUGGUAUGGGUGAAGUAAUAUAUUGGGAUCUUUGUGGAGGAGAUUAUAUUGCUUCUUCUUAUAUUGGAACAAUUGAGAGGAGCAAGGUUAGUAAUAUCAACACCUGACCACGCACUAGGCUGUGGCGAGAGUUUGUGUAUAUCUCUUUGGUGUCAACCUCAUGUGCGUGCUAGCCACGUUCUGCCGUUGCGGGCACCCUAUUUGCCUUGGUAUGAUCGAUGGAAGCACUUGGGUGAUGUUCUGGUGAUAAAAAUGCUGAAGGUACCUGAUUUCUUACCAGGUUAUAUGCGGUUCUUACCCAGCUGGCAUGGUGAUGAUUUCUUCUCUUUGCUUUUCAGUUAUUAUACUGGCCGAUACAUCUAUCUAUUGGGAGGUUGUUUUGCUAUCAAUUGGGAUCCUGGGUUUAGGGUCUUUUCAUGCUUGGAUAAAGGCAAGUGUUCUAUUUGUGCAUUGUGACGGCAAUUUUCUUGGAUAACAGACGAAGCGAUAUCGGAGGAGUACACGGGUGGGAUGACAGAUGAUAAACUUGAUACGGGUGUGUUGUUGACUGUCAUCCAACCGACGUGCCCAGACAGGCCACAUAUUGGCAUGAUGGACUUCUAUGGUAAAAGGACAUUAUGCAGCAUGGUUUUCUUCGGAACAUAAUUCAUUGUCCGCUGAUGUACUGAAAAAAAGCAUAUUUGUUCUUCUUGCUUGUCACCAAGCAGGGAAACAAAGACUUAAGUGAUGUUACUCAUGUUAUAGUAGAUGAAGUACAUGAACGCACUAUUUUGGUAUGUACUUGCUCGUGUAUGUUUUUUCUUUAUGUGCUACAAAAUGUCUUGUUUCUCCCUAUAUGAUAGAUGAAGCACAUGGUUAAUCCUGAUUUGCCCCUUUCAGAGCAACUUUUUGCUGAUUGUUCUUAAGAGUCUUGUUGAAAACGCUCUAAUCAACCAGGAAGAAAGCUGAAAGUGAUUCUCAUGUAGUGUCCAUUCUCUUAUAUAUUAUUGCAUAGAUUUAUGACUUGAAUCAGAAAUUUUGAUUUCUGUUGUAAUUUUGUAAGUAGUUAAACGGGAGACUUUUGUUGUAAAUUGGCCAGAUAAAAAAACAGUUUUGCUAAUUUACAGUCGAGUGAUUUACAAUUGGUUUUCAUUCAAAUUUUUGGCCGUUUGAUCUCAUGCUUAGAUCCGCGCUGGGAGCUGGCUUUUCCUUGUGAUUUUUUUCUCUCUGUUACUGGGUGCGCUUUUGUUUCCCAGCUAGCCCGUUACUGCCCAUCCCUUGGGCCCUGGCUCUCUCUUUAUCUUUUUUUAUUUUGAUUCUUGUCCUUUCGCAUUUCCUGGCGAGAGUUGAAGCUGAGAAAGGGAGCCGAUUCUUGGCGAUUUCCUCGUCAUCCAUGGUGAUUCCGAUCUCCUCCUCCUCCUCUUCAGCUUGAUUUCUGUUCCAGUGUCGGGUGAUUUCAGUUGGUUAUCCUGGUCUUCUCCCUUUCCCCCUUGAAUUUUGUCUAGGUCUUUUGGUUUGAUUUGAUUCCCCUUGUAUUUGAUUUAGAUGUAGGUGUAUGUUAGUCGUAGAGGUGGAUUUUCCUGGCGACUUUUUUGCAGUUACAGUGGUAGUAGCAUGGAUGUAGCGAUGGAUCCGAUUCCCCUGUUGGUUUUCUUUCUGCUAGCCUGGGCAUUGGAUUCUGCUGGCCUUUUUUGCUGUUAGAUGCAGGGGUGUGUGUUUGUAGGUAGUAGUUGCAUCUAAGUUACAUCAAUAACUGUUCAAUUUCAGUGGAAUUUCCUCUCAAAUCACAGAGUAGUGACACUGCAAUUUCCAGAGUUAACCACAGUGCAAUUUUUGCUGUAACUUCUGUGAUUUUUAGUUUAUAGUCACUGCAAUCACAAUGUAAUUUACGGUUAUUAUAGUGCUAUUUUCAGUGUAUUUUAGGUUAAUUACACUAGAUUACAAUGAAAUUUUCAAUGCAAUUAAAGUACUUUUUGGUGGUGGUGGUGGUGGUGGUGGUGGGGGGGGGGUGCCUAUGUUGGGUCUCCAAGCAUUCUAGAACCUCUUUCUUUGUGGUUUGUCUUUGUUGGGUAGUAUUUGUAUCAAUCUUAUAACCCUUUUUUUCUAUGUUUUCUGUAGUGUUGCAUCUAAGUUUACAGCAGCUCCAAGAUUGUAAUCUCAUUUUAGUUACAGUGUAAUUUCCUCUGAAAUUACAGAGUAAUCACAGUGUUCUUACAGUGUACUUGUAAUUGCAGUGUAAUUUUCAUGAUCUCAAAGAAAUUCACGAUGCAUGAGCAAAGACAUUGGAAUUGAAGGAUUUCCACCCUGUGGUCAUCUCUUGUAUGAUCUUGCAUGGUUCUCCCCCAAUUAGUAGUCGUGACUUUGGCGUUUGUCUUUGCCCCAAUUGGAAUUGAAGGAUUUCUAACUCCAUGGUUCUUUGUUGGUGUUUGUCUUCACCCUUUCUUUUUACUUCUCAUUUCCUCCAUGUAAGUACUUUAAUUUCUGCCUUCUUGUUUGGUGUUUAUCUUUACCAUUUCUUUUUUAUAUCUCAUUUCUUAUAUAUAGAUUUUCUUUAUAUUAUUCUGCCUUGUUGCAGUUGUGCUUCCCUGUAACCAUUCAAAAGCAUUGGUUUUUCUUUCUUCGUUUGCUUUCCUAGAUCCAGCUUUCUAUGAGCUGUCUGAAUUUCACUUGCAGAUUAGGAUGAUGGAAAUUCAGAAUUGAUUCUAAUUUCUUAUUUGAUCCCUUUUUACAGACUGUGAAUUAACAAUGGUGGAGAAGGCUUUUUUGCUUGAGAGAGAUGUUGAACUUCUUUUUUCACACUGUGGAUAGGGCAGUGUGUAUGUUGGUUCAGUGUGUAGUCAUCUGUAGAAGAGUCAGUGUGUAUGUUGGUUCAGCUGUGUCUCUAUAAUCCGUAGAUGACACGAGGUACUAUACUUGCAUGGUUUUCUUACUGUAAUUUCAAGGUUUUUCACCUGCUUGUCAUGAAUGCAAGUGUGUCUAGCCCAACCGACGUACAUACAUACAUAACAACUCAUGACUUGGGGCUGCAAACUCAUGACUUGUGACUUGGUUCAGCUUUGUCUUUGAGAUUCUGACAAGUUCCGGUCAUAAUAUCAUUAAUAAUCACACAAUAAUUUUAGAAGUUCCAGUGCUAAUUUGACUAAGUUUUGUGUAUAUAGACUUUAACUCUUAAGAUAUCACUAUAAGUAGACUGCAAGUUACCGACAAACUGUAAUGGCAGUCUAAUUAUCACUAUAAUUUUCUUCCCAAUGCUGUAAGUGGACUGUACGUUGAUCCCAGACCUAGAGAGGGUACGUUGAUGGAACAGUAGGCUGUGGAUCAGAGAGGGUACGUUGAUGGUCCAGUUCCAACCCGAUUAGGAUUGGCCUUUUACCGUUGACAUGCAUACAGUGGAGAUACACUAAAAAGGGACACACAAAUACAUACAAGUGUCGUUCUAUUAUUGAUUGAAAGACUUGACUGAUGUCCAAUUGAUUUUCAGUCAAACGUCAAAUAGACACUCAAUCUUUAGAAGGCUGCCUCAUGCUUGAAGGUAUGAACCAAUAUCUAUUCUUUCAAAGUUUUUCUCUUUUAACCAUGAAGUGCAAUAGUGUAGAUGAGCGAUCUUACGAAACUCCAGAUCACCACAUUUCUCAGAGAAAUCCCCAGCUUAAAAAUCUUGCUACUGGUAUGCAUCCACCACCCAAUCCUCAUUCUGAAUUUGAGAAGAAAUUGAUUUAACAUCUGCUCUAAUGUUCUUUGUAACGUCGUAGUACUUCAUGUGUUAUGAAAGUGUGAAACACCAGAUGUCUUCAUAUGAAAAAAUAUAAUGAAAGCUAUAAAAGUUAUUUUUAGUUAUAUGGAUUAGCUAAUGUCAACUAUAAAUGCAGGUGUCUCGAUGGUGAAAACUAUUAUAACAAGAUAUGUGAAGAUAUUUGCUGUCUGGAUGAACAAUAUAACUCCAUAGCCCACUAUAACUUAAUCAGCUUAUAAGGUACAACUUAAUUAAGAUGUCGUCAAUAACCACUACUAUUUUUAUUCGCUUGCAUCAUUUGUUAUCUAAUAGAAUGAUAGAAAUAGAGGUUUCCCAGUCCAAAAGAAGGAUAUGAACACAGAGUAGCUAAAGUAGAGGCAUAGAACUUCCAAUUAUCAUUGUUUUAUAUCAGUAGGAUUGCUUUUGAGAUAAUAAAUGAGCUAAGUAGUCCCGUCACAAAUUAGUUUACAUAGUCCCUCCAUUUCCUUUUAGUCCGCAUAUAUAAAAUUUAGUCAAAGUGAAACUUUGUAAAAUCUGACUAACUUUUUAGGAAAAAAUAUCAACAUCUGCAUUACUAAACCUAUAUGAUAUGAAAAUUAAUUUCAUGAUUCAUCUAAUAAUAUUAAUUUCUAUUGUGAAUCUUGAUAUUUUUUCCUAUAAACUUAGUCAAAGUUGACAAAGUUUGACUUUUACCAAAUUUUAUAUGCACAUUCAAAAGAAAGGGAGGGAGUAUUCGAUCCUUUCAUGCAAAUCUCCUAGAUCCAAGAGUUUCAGAAGAAAUAUUAUGUUUUCAAGAUUAUAGAUCUAAUUAGGAAUAAGUGAAUGAGAUUACUUGGAUAGUGUUCAUAUAUUUGAUCUGGUGAUGUAUGGUUAUUAUGUGCUUCUCUUGAUUUUUUUUGUAUCUGUACAUGUUAGAUUGGUUCCUUUUCGGCCACCAGAACAAAAUAAGCUUCUCAGAUUUUUUGAUGUUCAAAUUUUAUAGUGGCUUUACACAACUAUAUCAUUUUACCCACCAAAUUGUCGUCGUAUUUUAGUAAUUUGUUUGUUCAUUGGCGUACCGUGAUAAGAUGUAGCCUCACAUGCAUGAAAGUGGAGAAGCUGUAGAUUGACAUGUCCAAGUUUGCAGUUUUUCUACAUCAGACUGCUUCCACGGACGUCAAAUACGAGGCAUUGUCAACCCAUGAAAUGUUAAAUUUUGGACGCACAUAUGUAUAUAUUUGGAUACUGAACUAACUGAUGUAGGGAAUUAGAGAGGCUGGAGUUAGUUGGUUGUAGAAGAUAGAAAACAAGAAUAUUUUCCAAUGCUUAAUAAGGUGGGAGACAGAGAGUGAGACUAGAACAUGUAUGCCUGUUGCAACGCAUGAGCAAUUAAUUAGUUACAUAUAUUUAAGGAUUACAACUUCCGUGCCAAAUUACUUGUCUUAGAUUUAUUUAGAUAUAUGGAUGUAUCUUGAACUAGGGCUACAAGGAAAAAGGAGCAACACUUGGAGAGGAAGCGAGCUAAAAAAUUUAUGUCUUGGUGCUUUCUUUCAAACUAAGGUAGUUGCUUUUUCCAUGUGAUCGUCUAAUUUUGUCCCACUCUAAUUUUUGGUUUCUAGGGACCUAUCUCUCUGGAUUAUGGUGAGCAAGAGGCGUCGCUUAUAUCCAAGUUGUUGCAAGGUGCCUUCCAUCCUCAAUGGUAAAUUCAAUGAAUAUUGAUGUAACCAACAAAAAAUAGGAAUAUAGAUGUACUGUGGACGUAUAUGAGGUGAUUCAUGUACCACUAUGGAUUACUUAUUUUCAGAUGGCACAUGCUGUGUGUGCAUAUAUGUGUUGUGUGUGCUUACAUGUAAUUUGAUAUGCGCAAUCAGAACAAAAAUAUACCUGUGAAAUUUGAUAUGAAUUGCAUUCA